rnacentral:rRNA from 1 species
ACUCCUACGGGAGGCAGCAGUGGGGAAUAUUGCACAAUGGGGGAAACCCUGAUGCAGCCAUGCCGCGUGUGUGAAGAAGGCCUUCGGGUUGUAAAGCACUUUCAGUAGGGAGGAAGGUAGUGUAGUUAACACCUGCAUUAUUUGACGUUACCUACAGAAGAAGCACCGGCUAACUCCGUGCCAGCAGCCGCGGUAAUACGGAGGGUGCGAGCGUUAAUCGGAAUUACUGGGCGUAAAGCGCAUGCAGGCGGCCUGUUAAGUCAGAUGUGAAAGCCCGGGGCUUAACCUCGGAAUUGCAUUUGAAACUGGCAGGCUAGAGUCUUGUAGAGGGGGGUAGAAUUUCAGGUGUAGCGGUGAAAUGCGUAGAGAUCUGAAGGAAUACCAGUGGCGAAGGCGGCCCCCUGGACAAAGACUGACGCUCAGAUGCGAAAAGCGUGGGGAGCAAAACAGGAUUAGAUACCCUGGUAGGAUAGCG